CAACAAUAUUUAGAUUAAAGAUAUCUAUUUCCUGUUGAUCCUGUUGAGUAUUGAUGUUUUUAUAUUAUAAUUGAAACUGUUUAUCAGCGGGUUUAAUACAGAUUCAUAAAACCAUACCUAUAACGUAUAGGUAACUAGGUACAUCAUAAUUCAUAAGUGAUGCCUAUUAUACUCGUAUAAAUCACAAUUUACUAUUUAUUAAUAUUAUAACAGUCAGCUAAUCAGGUAAUUAUACCUAAAUUCUCAUUGUAGUAUUAAUUUUACUUAUUAAAGUUAGAUGCAUACUGCUUAUAAGUCAGUUUACACUUGUACUCUGUUCUAUGAACGAACUUUCAAUUUUUAUUUUUUAUUUUAUCCAUCACAUCAGAUAAUGUAAUAAAAAAUAAAACUAAUUUUGUUUAACAGUUUAAAAGAAAUCAAAGUGAAGGAUAAAUAUCAAAAACAAAUUAUAACAUAUUAUUCUUGGUUGUUGAAAAAUAUAUAUAUUACCAAUAUCAAAAGAUACGGGAUGAAAUAAUUAUAUACAGGUAAUAAACAAAAUAAAAUAAUAACAAUAGAUUUAAGUAAUUUAUUUUUUACUAAUAUUAACUAUUAAUACUUCCUUUGAAUUUUGCUCGUAAAACAACUUGUUAAUCAGUAUCAUAGUAUUUAUACUGAUGUACCUUAUUUAAGAUAUUUUUUUCAUACAUAUUUUUAAAUGCAAAUAAGAUUUGAGCUGUUAUGUGAUUUGAUUGAGUGGGC